CAAAUACAGUCCCCUAUAGGCGCUUUUUAAGCUUAAUAGAGAAGUCGGUGCAAAUCCGACACGGUCCCGCCGCUGUGAAGUGGAGUUCCUUUUUAUUAUGUCACUGAACAUUAUGUUUGGGAAGGCAAAAGGAAUGAUGAAGCUGAGUCAGAAGAACUGCCUAAGGAAGCAUGUCGUU
rfam:Veillonella sp. CAG:933 genomic scaffold, scf57